UCAAAGGAUGGAAUAUCAAGGUC
rnacentral:piRNA from 1 species